UUAAGCGACUAAGCGUACACGGUGGAUGCCCUGGCAGUCAGAGGCGAUGAAGGACGUGCUAAUCUGCGAUAAGCGUCGGUAAGGUGAUAUGAACCGUUAUAACCGGCGAUUUCCGAAUGGGGAAACCCAGUGUGUUUCGACACACUAUCAUUAACUGAAUCCAUAGGUUAAUGAGGCGAACCGGGGGAACUGAAACAUCUAAGUACCCCGAGGAAAAGAAAUCAACCGAGAUUCCCCCAGUAGCGGCGAGCGAACGGGGAGCAGCCCAGAGCCUGAAUCAGUGUGUGUGUUAGUGGAAGCGUCUGGAAAGGCGCGCGAUACAGGGUGACAGCCCCGUACACAAAAAUGCACAUAUUGUGAGCUCGAUGAGUAGGGCGGGACACGUGGUAUCCUGUCUGAAUAUGGGGGGACCAUCCUCCAAGGCUAAAUACUCCUGACUGACCGAUAGUGAACCAGUACCGUGAGGGAAAGGCGAAAAGAACCCCGGCGAGGGGAGUGAAAAAGAACCUGAAACCGUGUACGUACAAGCAGUGGGAGCACGCUUAGGCGUGUGACUGCGUACCUUUUGUAUAAUGGGUCAGCGACUUAUAUUCUGUAGCAAGGUUAACCGAAUAGGGGAGCCGAAGGGAAACCGAGUCUUAACUGGGCGUUAAGUUGCAGGGUAUAGACCCGAAACCCGGUGAUCUAGCCAUGGGCAGGUUGAAGGUUGGGUAACACUAACUGGAGGACCGAACCGACUAAUGUUGAAAAAUUAGCGGAUGACUUGUGGCUGGGGGUGAAAGGCCAAUCAAACCGGGAGAUAGCUGGUUCUCCCCGAAAGCUAUUUAGGUAGCGCCUCGUGAAUUCAUCUCCGGGGGUAGAGCACUGUUUCGGCAAGGGGGUCAUCCCGACUUACCAACCCGAUGCAAACUGCGAAUACCGGAGAAUGUUAUCACGGGAGACACACGGCGGGUGCUAACGUCCGUCGUGAAGAGGGAAACAACCCAGACCGCCAGCUAAGGUCCCAAAGUCAUGGUUAAGUGGGAAACGAUGUGGGAAGGCCCAGACAGCCAGGAUGUUGGCUUAGAAGCAGCCAUCAUUUAAAGAAAGCGUAAUAGCUCACUGGUCGAGUCGGCCUGCGCGGAAGAUGUAACGGGGCUAAACCAUGCACCGAAGCUGCGGCAGCGACGCUUAUGCGUUGUUGGGUAGGGGAGCGUUCUGUAAGCCUGUGAAGGUGUGCUGUGAGGCAUGCUGGAGGUAUCAGAAGUGCGAAUGCUGACAUAAGUAACGAUAAAGCGGGUGAAAAGCCCGCUCGCCGGAAGACCAAGGGUUCCUGUCCAACGUUAAUCGGGGCAGGGUGAGUCGACCCCUAAGGCGAGGCCGAAAGGCGUAGUCGAUGGGAAACAGGUUAAUAUUCCUGUACUUGGUGUUACUGCGAAGGGGGGACGGAGAAGGCUAUGUUGGCCGGGCGACGGUUGUCCCGGUUUAAGCGUGUAGGCUGGUUUUCCAGGCAAAUCCGGAAAAUCAAGGCUGAGGCGUGAUGACGAGGCACUACGGUGCUGAAGCAACAAAUGCCCUGCUUCCAGGAAAAGCCUCUAAGCAUCAGGUAACAUCAAAUCGUACCCCAAACCGACACAGGUGGUCAGGUAGAGAAUACCAAGGCGCUUGAGAGAACUCGGGUGAAGGAACUAGGCAAAAUGGUGCCGUAACUUCGGGAGAAGGCACGCUGAUAUGUAGGUGAAGUCCCUNGGUUCUCCCCGAAAGCUAUUUAGGUAGCGCCUCGUGAAUUCAUCUCCGGGGGUAGAGCACUGUUUCGGCAAGGGGGUCAUCCCGACUUACCAACCCGAUGCAAACUGCGAAUACCGGAGAAUGUUAUCACGGGAGACACACGGCGGGUGCUAACGUCCGUCGUGAAGAGGGAAACAACCCAGACCGCCAGCUAAGGUCCCAAAGUCAUGGUUAAGUGGGAAACGAUGUGGGAAGGCCCAGACAGCCAGGAUGUUGGCUUAGAAGCAGCCAUCAUUUAAAGAAAGCGUAAUAGCUCACUGGUCGAGUCGGCCUGCGCGGAAGAUGUAACGGGGCUAAACCAUGCACCGAAGCUGCGGCAGCGACGCUUAUGCGUUGUUGGGUAGGGGAGCGUUCUGUAAGCCUGUGAAGGUGUGCUGUGAGGCAUGCUGGAGGUAUCAGAAGUGCGAAUGCUGACAUAAGUAACGAUAAAGCGGGUGAAAAGCCCGCUCGCCGGAAGACCAAGGGUUCCUGUCCAACGUUAAUCGGGGCAGGGUGAGUCGACCCCUAAGGCGAGGCCGAAAGGCGUAGUCGAUGGGAAACAGGUUAAUAUUCCUGUACUUGGUGUUACUGCGAAGGGGGGACGGAGAAGGCUAUGUUGGCCGGGCGACGGUUGUCCCGGUUUAAGCGUGUAGGCUGGUUUUCCAGGCAAAUCCGGAAAAUCAAGGCUGAGGCGUGAUGACGAGGCACUACGGUGCUGAAGCAACAAAUGCCCUGCUUCCAGGAAAAGCCUCUA
rnacentral:rRNA from 1 species